rnacentral:SRP_RNA from 1 species
UGCCGACAAGGUGUCCGCACUAAGUUCGGUAUCAGUAUGGUGACCUCCUGGGAACAGGGGGCCAUCGGGUUGCUUAAGGAUGGGAGAACUGGCCCAGGUCAGAAGGGGAGCAGGUCAGAAUUCCUGCACCAAUCGGUAGUGGGACUGUGCCUGGGCA